AAGAGAGCUAUCCGUGAACAGU
rnacentral:miRNA from 2 species